AGUGAACGCUGGCGGUAGGCCUAACGCAUGCAAGUCGAACGGCAGCACAGUAAGAGCUUGCUCUUACGGGUGGCGAGUGGCGGACGGGUGAGGAAUACAUCGGAAUCUACUUUUUCGUGGGGGAUAACGUAGGGAAACUUACGCUAAUACCGCAUACGACCUACGGGUGAAAGCAGGGGAUCUUCGGACCUUGCGCGAUUGAAUGAGCCGAUGUCGGAUUAGCUAGUUGGCGGGGUAAAGGCCCACCAAGGCGACGAUCCGUACCUGGUCUGAGAGGAUGAUCAGCCACACUGGAACUGAGACACGGUCCAGACUCCUACGGGAGGCAGCAGUGGGGAAUAUUGGACAAUGGGCGCAAGCCUGAUCCAGCCAUACCGCGUGGGUGAAGAAGGCCUUCGGGUUGUAAAGCCCUUUUGUUGGGAAAGAAAAGCAGCAGGUUAAUACCCCGCUGUUCUGACGGUACCCAAAGAAUAAGCACCGGCUAACUUCGUG
rnacentral:rRNA from 1 species